rnacentral:rRNA from 1 species
UACGAAGGGUGCAAGCGUUACUCGGAAUUACUGGGCGUAAAGCGUGCGUAGGUGGCCCGGUCAGUCCGUGGUGAAAGCGCGGGGCUCAACCCCGCGUCGGCCAUGGAUACUGCUGGGCUGGAGCACUGUAGAGGCAGGCGGAAUUUCGGGUGUAGCGGUGGAAUGCGUAGAGAUCCGGAAGAACACCGGUGGCGAAGGCGGCCUGCUGGGCAGUUGCUGACACUGAGGCGCGACAGCGUGGGGAGCAAACAGG